AGACAUCCUAGAAUGCUGCUGUUAUAGAAGGGCCCCCUCUACCCUGGCUGCGUGGCGCUAGGUGUUUAAGUGUGAAGUCAAGGUCACAGCAGGAAACAGGAUGCAACUCCCAUAGUCCAAAGGAAGAGGCCUUCAUUAAAGGACCGUCAGAGGUCGCCCCACUGGACAAGCCCAGGAGGAGCCAGAGCACAAGGGUACCCUCUACAGAUCAGCCCUCUGAGGCCCAGAGCAAGGUGGAGAAGUUGGAAAGGAAGUCUGGAGGUGCGAACAGAAGAUAUCCCCACCCCGAAGAGCAAAAACUCUGAUUCCUUUCUUAGGGUCAGUGUUUCACAGCAUCAGGACUGCCCCAGUCCACCAAACUUCAAGGCAAAAAUAAGAAUCUCCAUGAUCUUGACCUGGGGAGGGAACAGAGCUGUAGAACUCCAUCCUCCUUUUUGAGGAGGUAGCUAGAACUAGGAGGAGGAAGUGUGUACUCCUCUCUCUGCUGAAAGUUGAUUAAGUUUCUCUUGAUGACCCUUGGCCCAAUUCUAUAUUACCUUAUGUCCAUGAUCUUUUAUUUCUAAUUCCCAAAACCAAACUACUUCUGAAAACUGAAAGUUUUUCAUACUUCAUUUGUCAGCAAAACAUGACUGACUGACAUGAAUUAUUUAUAACCAUUAUCUAUCCCACUUAGUAUGAAUAUGUCUGUUUUCUUGCAAAAAAAAAAUUGAUUUCUG
rnacentral:lncRNA from 1 species